ACCCCGCUGUGGAAGCCGGAACUUUGAGGAGGCACGGAAGUUCGGAGGUCCUUCCAGAAGUUUGUAAACACUGCAAAGCCAGGGUAGGAGUCUUUUGCACUCGGUGGACAGAUACACUGCCAGGGGUCAGUUCAUUAUUCUUUUUUUGAAUAAAAUUUAAUUUUACUGACUACCUC
rnacentral:lncRNA from 1 species